rnacentral:rRNA from 2 species
UGGGCGUAAGCGCGCGCAGGCGGUUUCUUAAGUCUGAUGUGAAAGCCCACGGCUCAACCGUGGAGGGUCAUUGGAAACUGGGGAACUUGAGUGCAGAAGAGAAAAGCGGAAUUCCACGUGUAGCGGUGAAAUGCGUAGAGAUGUGGAGGAACACCAGUGGCGAAGGCGGCUUUUUGGUCUGUAACUGACGCUGAGGCGCGAAAGCGUGGGGAGCAAACAGGAUUAGAUACCCUGGUAGUCCACGCCGUAAACGAUGAGUGCUAAGUGUUAGAGGGUUUCCGCCCUUUAGUGCUGCACCUAACGCAUUAAGCACUCCGCCUGGGGAGUACGGUCGCAAGACUGAAACUCAAAGGAAUUGACGGGGGCCCGCACAAUCGGUGGAGCUUGUGGUUUAAUUCAAAACAA